UACGUAGGGUGCGAGCGUUAAUCGGAAUUACUGGGCGUAAAGCGUGCGCAGGCGGUUCGUUGUGUCGGCGGUGAAAGCCCGGGCUCAACCUGGGAAUGGCCGUUGAAACUGGCGAACUGGAGUGUGGCAGAGGGGGUGGAAUUCCACGUGGUAGCAGGUGAAAUGCGUAGAGGAUGUGGAGGAACACCGAUGGCGAAGGCAGCCCCUGGGUCAAGAUUGACGCUCGAUGCACGAAAGCGUGGGAGCAAACAGG
rnacentral:rRNA from 1 species